rnacentral:lncRNA from 1 species
AGACAGAGGAACGCGGAAGGACUUGACUUGCUGAGUCUUCUGGCCUUCAUCUUUCUCCCAUGCUGGAUGCUUCCUACCCUCAAACACUGGACUCCAAGUUCUUCAGCUUUUGGACUCUUAGACUUACACCAGUGGUUUGCCAGGGGCUCUAAGGCCUUUGGCCACAUACUGAAGGCUGCACUGCAGGCUUCCCUGCUUUUGAGGUUUUGGGACUCGGACUGGCUUCCUUGCUCCUCAGCUUGCAGAUGGCCUACUGUGGGACUUCACCUUGUGAUCAUACUCCUUUAAGGAUCUUUCCAAAGGUCUUCAAUUUUGAUAUAAGCAACAAAGAAUAAGAGUACUCAUGAUGUGUGACAAAUGGCAUGCCUCCUGCAAGAGUUAUGAGUUAUGUGCCUAAACAGGAAGGAUCAUCUCAUUGCAGAAUUAGGGCAUCAUCCAGUGGGAAGGGAGUUUCAAGGUCAUUUAGUCCAGCCUCCGAGUGAUACAGAAAUUCUCUUUGCAGCAUCCCUAUCACGUGGCCAUCAAACUUCUACUAGUGUAUUCAUCCACACCUGGUCUGUCUAAAACCUUGAGAACAGCCCCUUGUAUAGUUCAAUAGCCCCAGCUGAAGGAAAAGUUUUUGUUAUUUUCAGUAAACAUAUUCUGUUGUGUAA